AGUGAACGCUGGCGGUAGACCUAACACAUGCAAGUCGAACGGCAGCACAGUAAGAGCUUGCUCUUACGGGUGGCGAGUGGCGGACGGGUGAGGAAUACGUCGGAAUCUACUUUUUCGUGGGGGAUAACGUAGGGAAACUUACGCUAAUACCGCACACGACCUACGGGUGAAAGCAGGGGAUCUUCGGACCUUGCGCGAUUGAAUGAGCCGAUGUCGGAUUAGCUAGUUGGCGGGGUAAAGGCCCACCAAGGCGACGAUCCGUAGCUGGUCUGAGAGGAUGAUCAGCCACACUGGAACUGAGACACGGUCCAGACUCCUACGGGAGGCAGCAGUGGGGAAUAUUGGACAAUGGGCGCAAGCCUGAUCCAGCCAUACCGCGUGGGUGAAGAAGGCCUUCGGGUUGUAAAGCCCUUUUGUUGGGAAAGAAAAGCAGCAGGUUAAUACCCCGCUGUUCUGACGGUACCCAAAGAAUAAGCACCGGCUAACUUCGUG
rnacentral:rRNA from 1 species